rnacentral:tRNA from 2 species
GAAUAAGAAGCGAAUUUUGCAGUCAGUUUCGACCUGAAAAACUUGGUAAUAGAUACCCUUAUUCU